CCGGCGACCGGCGCACGGGUGAGUAACACGUAUGCAACCUGGCCGUGACAGAUGGAUAACCGGGAGAAAUCCCGCCUAAUACAACAUAAUGCCGGGAGGGGACAUCCCCUGUCCGGUCAAAGGGGGCGACCCCGGUCAUGGAUGGGCAUGCGGCGCAUUAGGUAGUUGGUGGGGCAACGGCCCACCAAGCCGACGAUGCGUAGGGGUUCUGAGAGGAAGGUCCCCCACAUUGGAACUGAGACACGGUCCAAACUCCUACGGAAGGCAGCAG
rnacentral:rRNA from 1 species